GCUGCAAGUCUGCAACCGCAUGACCCGCCUGCCCAUAUAACCGGGCCAUCCCCACCACUACUGCCCUAAAACCCUACCGCGAAGCAAUUGCAGAGAAAAGGUAGGGGAAGGAGAGAGAUCCGCCUCUACCAUAACUCAUCGGCAACAGUGGGGGGACGAUCCUGAGAUAGCCAGGGGAUAAACUUAGGCGUGUGGGACCGAUUUGUGAGGCUUCAAGGCACGGAGAUCGACCAGGGCCUACCGAAUCGCUCGCCGGUGGUGGAAAGCCGACGUGGCUCCUCAAUUGCCGAGGAUUCCUGUUUUUGCCAUGCCUAUCUCCGGUGAGUUGCUACCAAUAUGGUCUGCAGUGUCAUUUCCUUCGCGUAGCGCUACUCGGGGUGAGGAAUGGGUCUCCGUAGCGCCUAGUGGUUGUGCUCCGGUGAGCUCACCGCCGUCUGAACGAGCGCCACCACCUAAGUCCGGCGACUGCAGGCGUGGGAUAACAUCGGUGUCGCGGGGACCGUCGAUUCUCGGGUUAAUGGCUCCGAUUAGAAGCAGGGGAUACCCCUUCACGACAUUAAACCUAGGUCGUCGAUCACCGAUCUGGCGGUCUGGGCAGGGUUCCGAUUUGAUACACGUGCGCCGGUGGUGGGGAUUUAAUGCGGUUCGGAUCCCGUGCGCCGCACCGUGUAUACCCUGGUGUGGCACGAUUCCAGCCAGUCGUUGGGCGCCACGUAGCCCUGUUCGGUCAUCCGUGAGUAAUCUUGCAAGUGAGACCCUGGGCUCUGGGUAAAUUAAACCGCAGUCCACAGCAGUAUAUAAGUAUUUCAUUUGGGGUCCUGUUAUUUGCACAUCAAACCUCAGAAUUUGCAGUAAUUGUGUUUUAAAUCCAUUUGAGUCUUGGAUUUAAUAAAUUAAAAUAGAAAUUGAUUUUUAGUACUAAAAUAAAUCCAGAAACUUGUUUAAAUCAUAGUAAAUUCAUUUUAACUCCUUUUUAAUCCAUUCCAUUUGCAUUAAUUUUGUAAUAAUAUUGUUUAUCACUUGGUAACUCUAUUUUAGCAUGAAACCUAGAUUAAAAUUAAUCACUUGGUUAUUUUUAUAGCAAACACACAUAAAACCUUCAGAAAAUUAUAACUUAUUAUCCGUGACUCCGAAUUUAGUGAUUCUCGAACCUAUGAUCUCAUUACGAUGUGUAAAUUAUUAUUAUGUAUUCUGUACUCAUGUUUGGUGUGAUGUUAAUUUCUCCUAUAUCAUGUUUGUUUGUAUUGCUUCGAGUUGACGAGCAAGUGAUCGAGGACACUGGUACCCAGCAAGUGGAAAUUGCUGAGCAGGAGCUCAUUGAUGGAAAGUUGUGCCCUUGACCACUUUUAUUAACCCAAUAAUGUUCUCUAUAAUCACUUUGACAUGCAUAGACUUAAUUUUGAUGGGACCCAAUAGGUCACCCUAGUUUGGUCAUCUUUACACCUUGUUUACCCAUGAACUUUUGGGUAAUCUUGGCUAUUGCUAUAUGUGGUUUUGGGUGUGGAGAUAACAAUUACACAAGGUCAUUUUUUAUUAUUAUUGUUCUAUUCUGUUCAUGAUAAGACUAUUAUGUUAAUUGGAAC
rnacentral:lncRNA from 1 species